GUGCUUGUAGCUCAGCAGGAUAGAGCGUCCGCCUCCUAAGCGGAAGGUCGUGGGUUCGAAUCCCGCCAGGCACG
rnacentral:tRNA from 1 species